rnacentral:rRNA from 1 species
AUUGAACGCUGGCGGCAGGCCUAACACAUGCAAGUCGAGCGGAUGAGGGAAGCUUGCUUCCUGAUUUAGCGGCGGACGGGUGAGUAAUGCCUAGGAAUCUGCCUAUUAGUGGGGGAUAACGUUCCGAAAGGAACGCUAAUACCGCAUACGUCCUACGGGAGAAAGUGGGGGAUCUUCGGACCUCACGCUAAUAGAUGAGCCUAGGUCGGAUUAGCUAGUUGGUGAGGUAACGGCUCACCAAGGCGACGAUCCGUAGCUGGUCUGAGAGGAUGAGCAGCCACACUGGAAGUGAGACACGGGCCAGACGCCUACGGGAGGCAGCAGUGGGGAAUAUUGGACAAUGGGCGAAAGCCUGAUCCAGCCAUGCCGCGUGUGUGAAGAAGGGCUUCGGAUUGUAAAGCACUUUAAGUUGGGAGGAAGGGCUGUAAGCUAAUAUCUUGCAGCUUUGACGUUACCAACAGAAUAAGCACCGGCUAACUCUGUGCCAGCCGCCGCCGUAAAAC